AUGUGGGGGAGCGGCUGCAUCUCCCUUUUUGGCGGGUGGAUCCGUAUUCAAGGAAUCGACAGAAGAUGGCUUUCCCACACUGGGAGGCUGCACCUGUGGAGCUCAGCACAGGGCAGAAGAGAAGAUCUUCAGAAAACUGUCUACUCCCCUCACUUUGGGAGGAAAUCCCGGCUGCACCAGCAAAAGAAAUGUUCCCUGGGGUCCAGUAUUGAUGUAUGGUUGUGUCACCUUGUGCUCAUUAGCAGCAUCCUCACUCAGAUGGAAGCCAUGUCCGUGGUUCAGGUGAGUCCAACAUCCUUGACCCUUUGUCUCUCCUCCUGUAGCUGUUUUCACUGGACUUGGCCACAGCACAUGUUUCACCUCCUUCCCCCACAUUCCCUGGCUGCCCCACUUUUGGGCAGGAGCAUCGUCAAGAGUGGGCCUGGUGGGGUCUAUCACAAGACAUCAGUUUCUCUAACGAUCAAUUACUCUAAUGAUUAGUGGGCCUAAAAUACACCAGCCUCUGGAAUAUCUGUAUCUGCCCAUGUUUCCUUUUUUUUUUUUUUUUAAAGAUUUUAUUUAUUUAUUCAUAGAGACACAGCUAGAGAGAGAGAGGCAGAGACACAGGCAGAGGGAGAAGCAGGCACCAUGCAGGGAGCCUGAUGUGGGACUCGAUCCCGGGUCUCCAGGAUCACACCCUGGGCUGCAGGCGGCGCUAAACCGCUGCACCACCGGGGCUGCCCCCAUGUUUCCUUUUUGUUCAUCAUUUUUCAACAUGUUAAGGAUAUUUUAAACCAAUAUAUCUAAAUGUCUCUCUUAUCUGCUGAGUAUUGGUUUUUCUACACUUUUAUGAAAGGCAGGAUUCUCUUGAAUCCAUGUGGGUGCAUUCCCUCCCUCUCCUUUUAUCUGCUUUUGAGUACUUUAUAUUUGCCUUUAUAGCAUGAUGGAAUGGAUGCAAAAGAACUCUUAGGGGGCUAGAUAUUUAAAAAUGUGAUUAAUAUAUAUAACAUAAAUUUAACUAUUUUCACCAUUUUGAGGUGUGCACUUCUGUGGCAUUAACUGCAUUCACAGUGUUGUAUGACCACCACCAUCCAUCUCUAGAACCUUUUCAUCACCCUCAACUGUGUCUCCAUUAAACAUUCAUGCCCCUUUCUCUCCUUCCUUGAGCCCCUGGAAACCACUAUUCUACUCUUUGGCUCUAUGAAUUUCAUUAUCGUAGAAACCUCAUAAAGAGGAAGCAUACAGUAUUUUUGUCCUUUUGUGCCUAUCUUAUUUCACUCAGCAUAACAUCCUCAAAAUCUAUCUACAUGGUAGCAUGUGUCAGUUACUUUCCUUCUUAAGGCUAAUACCGCACUGAAUGUAUACACCACAUUUUGUUUAACCAUUCAUCUGUCGGUGGACACUUGUGUUACUUUCACGUUUUGGAUGUGGUUAAUAAAGUUUCUGUGAAUGUGGAGGUUUAAAUAUCUGUUCAUAUCCUUGCUCUCAGUUCUUUUGGGUUCAUACCCAGAAGUGGAAUUGCUAGAUCAUCUGGUAAUUCCGGGUUUAAUAUUUUGGAGGAUCAUUGUACCAAAUACCACAAGGGUUAUUCACUUUACAUUCCCACCAGUGAUACUUAAGGCUUUCAAUUUCUUCACAUCCUCACUAACUUAUUAUUUUCUGAUUCUUUGAUUGUAGCCAUGCUAAUGGGCGUAAGAUGGUAUCUUAUGGUGGUUUUUAUUUACAUCUUCCUAAUGAUUAAUGAUGUUAGGCACAUUUUUAUGUGCUUGUUAACCAUUUGUAUAUCUUAUUUGGAGAAUGUCUAUUUCAAGUUCUUGGCCUAUUCUGGAAAUCGAUCAUUUCCCAGAUAUAUAAAGUGCAAAUCCUUUCUGGCUUCCCAUGGGUUGUAUUUUCACUCAUGAUAGGGCCCUUUGAUGCACCAAGUUAUAAAUUCUGAUAAAGUUCAGUUUGCCUAUUUUUUUCUUUUAUUGCCUGUGUUUUGGUGUCACUUGCAAGAAAGAAAUCAUUACCAAAUCCAAUAUCAUGAAAAUUUCUCCCUCUGUUUUCUUCUAGAGUUUUAUUUAUUUAUUUAUUUAUUUAUUUAUUUAUUUAUUAAUUAUUUUUGCAUAUUUUUUUAUUGGAGUUCGAUUUGCCAACAUAUAGUAUAACACCCAGUGCUCAUCCCAUUGAGUGCUCCCCUCAGUGCCCAUCACCCAGUCAGUCACCCAUCCUCCUGCCUAACUCCCUUCUACUCCCCUCCCCUGUUCAUUUCCCAGAGUUAGGAGUCUCCCAUGCUUUGUCACCCUCUCUGAUUUUUUCCACUCAAUAAGAGUUUUAUGAUACACUUUUUUUUUGUAUAUAGUGUAAGCAAGGAUCCAGAUUCUUUAUUUUUAAAAUAUGGAUAUCCAGUUUUCCCUAUGUCAUUUACUGAAAAGAUUGCCCUUUCCUCCCUUAAAUGGCACACUUGUUGAAAUAAUUUGGCCGUAUAUGUGAGGGUUUAUUUCUGGGCUUUUUAUUCUAAUCUAUUGGUCUAUAUAUCUGUCCUUAUGCCAGUACUACAGUGUUUUGAUUACUGUGGUUUUGUAGUGAGCUUGAAAUCAGGGAAUGUGAGACUUCCAAUUUUGUUCUUGUUUUCAAGAUGCUUUGGCUAUUUGAGAUCUCUUGUGAAUUCAUACAAACUUCAGGAUGGAUUUUUUUUUAUAUUUGCAAAAAAUGUUGGGAUUUUAAUAAGGAUUGUAUUGAGUAUAUAGAUUACUUUGGAUAUUAUUUACAUCUUAAUAAUAUUAAGUCUUCCAAUCCAUGAACAUGGGAUGUCUUUCCAUUUAUUUGUGUCCUCUUUAAUUUUCUUCAGCAUCUUGUAGUUUUCAAAACUUUUGCCUCCUUCGUUAAGUUUAUUCCUAUUUUAUUCUUUUUUCUUGAAAGGAUGAAUACUAUUCUAAUUUAUUAAAAUAGAAAAAGUGUAAUUUGACUAUUUUGAGGGAUGGAGGCAAUAUAAAAUACUUCAUGGAGUCAUACAUUUUCAUAUCUUAUACCAAAUAAUGCCAUAUUAGAUACAAUUUUACCUAAGAAAAUAACCUAAGAAUAUAAACUAAGUCCAAGUUUUUACAAUGGUGUUAGAACUUUGAUAUCAAUAAUAACACAAAAUUAGAAAUUAAGGAUGUAUCGUAUGAUUGAAAUUGAGAAAUCUUUAUAAAAGUGUGUGCGUGUGUGUGUGUGUGUGUGUAAUAAAAUUGUGUGUCAUGUUGCCAUUAAAGAUAAAAAAAUAUACAAGAGUGUCUGGGUGGCUCAGUUGAUUCAGCUCAGGUCAUGAUCCAUGACCUCAGGGUUGUGAGGUUGAGCCCAGAGGCAGGCUCUUCCCUAAAUGUGGAGCCUAUUUAAGAUUUUCUUUUUCAUACUUCCUCUGCCCCUCUCCUGCUGCUAUACUCUUUCUCUAAAAAUUUUUAAAAAUAAAUAUACAGACUUAAUAUAAUAAUAAUAAUCAUAUGAUAUUGAGUCAGAAUUUAAAGUGUAAAAUAAAGUAGUAUACAAAAUGAAAAUAAUAAAAUUUAGAAAAUGAUUUCUCUUUUUUUUUUUUUAGAAAAAAGACAGGACUCUUUUUCUUUUUAAAGAAAAAAACACAUGGGAUUUGCCACUUGAUGAAAAGUGAAUUUGUAUUUUUGUGUAACAGAUUUGUUUUUACUGUAUAGAUGAAUGAUUAUGCAUGAAAAAUAAAUUAAAGGAAGUGGCAGUGCAUACAUGAUAGAGGUUAGUGAAAUAUUGUCAAUUAUUACUUCCAUUCAAUCUUGCUUGGAUCAUAGCUGAGGUUUAUAGAUUUAGAGUGCUGAGUUGAAUAGACAUCUGGCUAUUACAAAAAAUUCAUGGUCUCAGGCAAGAUUUCUAUCACUGCCACAUCUCUAAAGGUAAAAAAUAAAAAGCCCACCUUUAUUCACACAGAUGCCCCAAAUGUAAUAUCUAUAAUGUGAUGCCUAAAAUUAUUUAAUGAAAAAGAAAAACAAAGCAUAUCUUUGGUGAAUUCUAAAACUUUUGAUUUGGUCUACUAUCCUAUUUUAUUAUUUUUGAUGGUAUUAUAAACAAAGUUUUUUAAAUUUCCUUAGCAGAUUAUUUACUGUUCAUGUACAAAAUUCCAACUGAUUAUUAUGUGUUGAUUUUAUCCUGCAAGUUUGCUGAAUUCAUUUAUUAAUUCUAACAGUUUUUGUGUGUGUGUGUGUGUGUGUGUGUGUGUGCCCUCUUUAGGGUUUUCUAUAUAUAAGACCAUGUGCUCAGUGAACAGAGAUAAUUUUACUUCUUCCUUUCCAAUUUGUAUGUAUUUUAUUUCUUAUUCUUGCAUAAUUGUCCUAGCUGGUACUUUCAGUGCUAUGCAGAGUAAAAAUGGUGGAAAUGGCAUUCUUGUUUUGUUCUUGAUCUUAGAAGAAAAUCUUUAGUCUUUCACUGCUGAGUAUGAGGUUGGCUAUGAGUGUUUCAUAGAUGGACUUUAUUAUAUGGAGGUAGUUUGCUUCUAAUCCUAGUUUGUUGAGUGUUUUUAUCAUGAAAAGAAAUAGAAUUUUGUCAGGUUUUUUCUGCAUCAGUUGAAAUGACCAUGUAGGUUCUCCCCUCCAUAUAUUAAUAUACUGUAUCACAAUGACGGAUUUUAAUAUAUUGAACCAUCCUUGCAUUCAAGAAAUAAAUUCCACUUGGUCUUGGUGUAUGAGCAUAUUUAAGAUAGUUGUUUAAAAGUGUUGAUCUAGUUGAUACAUGUGUUCAUAUAUACGUUCAGAGUCUAUUUUUGGAUAUUUAUCUUUUUAAAAAUUAUUUAUUUUAGAGUUUUAAAUCUACACCCAGUGUGGGGCUUGGACUCACAACCCUGAGAUCAAGAGUCACAUGCUCUACCAAGUGAGGCAGCCAGGUGCCCCGGAAUAUUUAUUUUUUCCCUUUGAAUGAAUCAUAUUUCCACAUUUUUGUGGGUUUUUUGUUUUGUUUGGUUUUUGUAAGCUUUGUGGUUUUUUUGCUCAAAUUUGAGCAUCUGAAAAAAGUUCUCUUUUGCAAUCUGUGCACACUGACAUGAAGAGUUUUACUAAUUAGUGGUUCCUGACCCUUGAGAUCAGCCUGUGGUGAUGGCUUAAGUUGUUCUCAGGUUUCUUUCUGGGCAAUGUGUUGUGUCUCGAUUUGUGUUCUUCCCUCCUCUCCUCUGCUCCCCUGAUUUUCCCCUGGCUUCUUUUAAAUGCUUUAAUUUCCUAAAAUGUUUUACCCUAGUUUCUUCUCAGGGCUUUGGAUGUCCUAUUAUAUUCCUCUGCUUAUAAUUUCUUGCCCUAAGGUGCCCAUAGGUCUGUAGCCCCCUUCAGUUUUCAUGCACUGUGGAGCCCACCAUUGUCUUCUGUAGUGUCUAACCUGAGAUCCAAAGUUUUCCACCAUUCCUGUCUGAGUUCAAGUCAGUAAGACAGAAACCAAUC
rnacentral:lncRNA from 1 species